CUUGCGGCUGAGCCAGCGAAAGAAAGCCGGGACUCCCAUAGCGGCGGCGCAGCUGUAGGCGGCUGCCCGGCCCGCGGACGGACGUAACCAGAGAGACAGGCAGCAGCGGGCCACAGGCACUGGCACUUCCUCCCACGUGCACCCGGCGACAGGAAGUGAGGUGAUGGCGCUGCCGCCUGGGAAGCCGGGAAGGAAGCUCCGGCCCGGCUGGGCAGAGCGGGCCUGGUCGGGGGCGGGGCUGGCCAGUGGAGCGGGUGGCGAGGGCAGCAGCCGGCGCGGCUCGGCGCGCGUUCUCGGCGGUACGUGUCCCGGAGCCUCUUCUGCAGCGGGCGCCCCUCGGGCGGGAUCCCUGCGCCUCGCAGGCCGCCAGGGAGCCUUGGCCGGUCUGGUCUCCUCCUCUUUCCCACCUAUCUUGAUUCACGUAGAAUCUAAGCAUCUACACGCACUCGUUAUUUCUGCUUCCUGCUUUCUCCCGGUUUUAUGCCACAGCUUCAUCUAGUGGGCAUGACGGAUCACUGACUGCAUUUCCAGACCUUAUCUCCUCCCCUGAAAUCAGAGGGUGGGACUGAAAGUUCCAAUCCUCUAAUCAAGGUCUCACUCUUUCUAAGCACCCCCUCCAGAAUGAUUCAUCUCUACCCAAAAAAGAUGCAGUGAAGACAGCAUGAUGGAGGCAGAGGUUCCCACAAGGGAAAUGCACAGCUUGGAAUUACUAUCCAGAGAAAUCAAUGAGCCACCAAGAAAUAAAGUAAGAACUGAGAGAAGACCCACGAAGAAGCCAAUAUACCAAGUAGUGAGCACGCUGGGUGUUUAUGUGCGAGCAGAAAUGAAAAUGUUAUAUGUGGAAGCUCUUACUCACCUGGACUAGUUUAGAAUAGUGGUCACCACAAAUUAGCAACGGCUCUCAUUGAAACCUACAACGUGUGAAGGAGGUGGACCAGGAGAGGAGCAAAGAGUGGCCCAGGUAAAAAUGAUCACCUGGUCAUGAACCUCCCUUGGCACACGCAUGCCUGGAACUACUGAGCUCCCAGCGUCCGCUUGCCAAACUCCUAUUGGUUCUCUGAGACUCACCCCAAAGGUAAUGUCCUGAUUGAAUCCAUGCACAGACAGUCUAUCCAAUCCUUUAGGUGUGUUUCCACAGAACAGCAAAUAAUACCAUUAGAUAUUUUCUGCGUGCCUUUGUUAAGUGAGUGAUUGAAUAAAUCGUUACUUCUUAUAUUAUUGCCAAAACAUCUAUGAGAAAUGUUUGAGCUGGAGACCGGAUGCAGGCACCUCUGAAAAGGGAGAAAGAACUAGUCCUUGGCAAACAUUGGGACAAGGAUGCAAGACUGACAGCAUUCCCAUGGCUCUGGAGGGAGUGAUGUGGUCUGCUUUCGGUUGAUUUCAUACCGUUGGCCUAAGUACACUCACAAGUGCUAGGAAGGCCUGGCAACGGGACCCUGCGAACGCCACUUAGUAAGCUACUACGGUGAUUAAACUGCAGGAUGCUGCAGAGUGCCUUCUUAGCUCUUUUCUCUAGCACGUCCCCUCAGCUGGGAAGCAUCCGGCUUUUAAUUUGGGAAAGCAGGAGAUGGCAGGCGUCCUGUCCAUCAGCGUCAUCUGUCACCAUCUUUGAGCUGCCAGCACGACAGCUGGGGAAGAGCGGGUUCAAGUUGACGGGCAGAACGUUUUACAUCGAAUGAGUUUGUGUGGAAUAACAGUAUAAUAAAUAAGGCUCUAGAGGAACCCGGUUAUCACUUGCAUUCCAAAAGUGAGAUAUGGCCUCACCAGGAGCUCACAGAGCCAUCUGUCGUCAAAUAGUCUUUGUGUCAAAGGCUGGACUGGCCUGAGGAAAUGGAAACAUCAGCAGAGGAGAGCAAAUGACAACACUGUGUCUUUUCCAAAAGAUUUACAGGGAGCCACCUCCAGGAGCUGGAGAUUUCCAGACGAUUUGGAAAUAAAUAUAUAAAACCACUACCCAAAGCGGUGAGACUUGAAAUCCUGGCUGCUGAAUGCUAAUGAGUCUUCCCACUGGAUAAGUUCAGUUUCUGUCACUCGGGGUACGUUCUUGAGUAAUAUAAUCUUUAUCUGCUUGGAUUUGGGGCUGGGAUUACUGUGAUCUCCUUUAAUGUGUUUUUGCCAGUUUGAUAUAUCAAAAUCCGAUCGUCCCCGAAGCACUCUGCUGAUGACACAACCGCUGGUGACAGGAACACUGAAAGUGGAUGAAAUCUUGAGAAUUGGAGAAAAGCUGUAGGGAUUUGUGGUUGUUUGGUUUCCUCGUUUUUUUGUUGAGGAAAAGGAGGAGGGAACUCACAAGCUGACACGAUAGAGAAUUGGGCGUAAACAACACCUCAUGGGUCAAUAGCACAACCACCAGCUGAGUGCCGCAGACCACGUGUUGACGGGAACGUCUGGGAGGGCAGAGAGGCGCUCUGGCCAUUGGAAAAGGAAAUGCAUUAGAAGAGCAAUUCAUUGAGAUGAAAAGUUCAAGGCUAGCCAAGUCCCAGGGGCAGCAAAUGUGGGAGAUUUGAUGGGCCUUAUCUGCAUAAGGUCUUCAGCCUGGACUGGCCCUGGUAAGGUUUAGUCCUGGAGGAUGUGCGAGGUUCCACUGUGAUGGGAGACCCUGCAGUGGCUGCCCUUGGGAAUUACAGGGUUGGGUCCCUAGGGUCAGAGUUCAGUGAGGCCGACUUUGGUGGUUCAAACUCACAGAAUUCGCCUCUGAUCGGGUUUCCCUGUUUGGAACAAUCCUUCCCCAGUGUAUCUCUGGACCAGGACCAGUGGACAUUUACAGCACGGAUGGCAGGGUGGUCCCCACCUCCAUUUGCCCCCUUCGGGGCGCCUCACUGUGUGGCAGAGCCUGCAGAGCUGAAAACGCUACCCUCCAGCCUCGACUAGAGUUCGGCUGUGAUUUAGGGAGGUCCUACCAAUCGGACGGACCUGUGUGAGACUUGGAGACUGGUUUCGUUCUGGUGGCCAGGAACGGGAGUUAUUGCAUAAUGGGGACAGAGUCCCAGCUGUACAAGACAAAAAGAGUUCCGGAGACGGACGGUGAUGACGGCUGCACAGCAAGGUGAAUGUCCUUAAUGCCACUGAACUGUACACUUAAAAAUGGGUAAGGUGGUAAAUUUCAUGUUAUGUGUAUUUUACCACGAUUAAAAGUUGUUUUUUAAAAAAUUUUUUUUGGGCCUUGAGGCUUGUGGGAUCUUAGUUCCCUGACCAGAGAUUGAACCUGGGCCCCCGGCAGUGAAAGUGUGGAGUCCCAACAACUGGACCACCAGGGAACUUAAAAAAAAUUGUUUUUUUAAUAAAAAGAAAAAUCAUUCCACUCUUGUGCAUAUAUAAAAAGGAAAAUAUAGGCCGAAUCAAUAAGUUAAUGCUUUUCUAAAACUCACGCAUGUGUAGAACUUACUCCUUCUAAAUCACUUUUUGAUUCAGAGUCACUGAUGCCCAGGUUUACCAGCAUCACCGGUCUCAGUACCACGAGCAGCGCAGUGAGGGUGAGGCAGCAUUUAAGGCCGCUCCACCGUAUCCAGGAUGUUCAUCCAGGUUCCUGACGCCCAUUCUGCAAGUCCUGAUGCAUCAGCAACACCCACGCCCUGACUGCUGACUGGCCAACAUGGCAUAGCCCAAUCUCAGAGCUGUUAAAACAUGGGGAAACAGUGUGUGCCAGAAGCAAUGAAAUACUCUUCUUCACUUUUAUUAGCUGGCCUGGAUGAGCCUAAAACGAGGCUACCAAAACGCUCCCUCUAAAUGGAAAUCUCGUCCCCUGUUUAAAACCCUUCAAUGGCUUUGAACAUUGACCAAAAGAACAAAGUCCAAACCCCUCUGCAUGGGAUACAAAACUCUUCACGACCUGUUUCUUUAAAAAAUUAUUAAUUAGGGCUUCCCUGGUGGCGCAGUGGUUGAGAACCUGCCUGCCAAUGCAGGGGACACAGGUUCGAGC